rnacentral:rRNA from 1 species
AACGCUGGCGGCGCGCCUAACACAUGCGAGUCGAACGGAGUUAAAGAAAGCUUGCUUUCUUAACUUAGUGGCGGACGGGUGAGUAACGCGUGAGUAACCUGCCUUUCAGAGGGGGGAUAACGACUGGAAACGGUCGCUAAUACCGCAUGAUAUACAGAAAUCGCAUGAUUUUUGUAUCAAAGGAGCAAUCCGCUGAAAGAUGGACUCGCGUCCAAUUAGCUAGUUGGUGAGGUAAUGGCUCACCAAGGCGACGAUUGGUAGCCGGACUGAGAGGUUGAACGGCCACAUUGGGACUGAGACACGGCCCAGACUCCUACGGGAGGCAGCAGUGGGGAAUAUUGCACAAUGGAGGAAACUCUGAUGCAGCGACGCCGCGUGAGGGAAGAAGGUUUUCGGAUUGUAAACCUCUGUCCUCGGUGAAGAUAAUGACGGUAGCCGAGGAGGAGGCCACGGCUAACUACGUGCCAGCAGCGGC